UACGUAGGUGGCAAGCGUUGUCCGGAUUUACUGGGCGUAAAGAGCGCGCAGGCGGUCGUCCAAGUCGCGUGUGAAAGCCCCCGGCUCAACUGGGGAGGGUCACGCGAUACUGGUCGACUCGAAGGCAGGAGAGGGUAGUGGAAUUCCCGGUGUAGUGGUGAAAUGCGUAGAUAGUCUGGAGGAACACCAGUGGCGAAGGCGGCAUCCUGGACCGGCAUUGACGCUGAGGCGCGAAAGCUAGGGGAGCAAACGGG
rnacentral:rRNA from 1 species